AAGUAUAGUUUAACAAAACCUCCCGCUUACACCGAGAAUAUAUCUGUGGGAAUCAGAUUACUUUGAGCCUAAAAUUAAGCCUAACCCACCCCCAUGAAAACCACUUCCAACUAAACAACAAUAAAACAUUUUAUCAGUUUAGUAAAGGCGAUUAAAAAACUUCCUAGCGCUUUACUUCUAGUACCGCAAGGGAAAAAUGAAAUAGUUUUGAAACAGCCAUUAAGCAACCUACAGCAGAGACUACCCCUCGUACCUUUUGCAUCAUGGUUUAGCUAGUCUUUUUCAAGCAAAGCGAAACAUCAGUUUGACCCCCCGAAACUAAGCGAGCUACUUCAAAACAGCUCAAUGGAGCCAACCCGUCUCUGUCGCAAAAGAGUGGGACGAUUUUUAAGUAGAGGUGAAAAGCCUACCGAGCUUAGAGAUAGCUGGUUAUUCAAGAAAAGAAUUUUAGUUCUACCUUAAGUUUCUGUAUUAACUCUAUAAACCACUCAAACUUAAGAGCUAUUCAAAUGAGGCACAGCUUAUUUGAAAAAGGAUACAACCUAUAAAAAAGGGUAAAACACCUCCCCAAAAAAAUAAGUGGGCCUAAAAGCAGCCACCUUUAAGAAAGCGUUAAAGCUUCUUUUUCCAAAAAUCUAAUACCAAAACACACCUUUAACCCUUUAUUCCUACUGAAUGAUUCUAUACUCACUAUAGAAGCCCCAAUGCUAAAACUAGUAACAAGAAAUUGACUUUCUCCAAAAUACAAGCAUAAACCAAAAUGGACUAACCAUUGGUUAUUAACGUCAAUUAAUCAAUAUAGCAACUAUAUCAAGAAAACACUAUUAGUUAUUACGUUAACCUUACACAAGUGUAUUUCCGGAAAGAUUUAAAGAAGGGGAAGGAACUCGGCAAAUAAUAACCUCGCCUGUUUACCAAAAACAUCGCCUCUUGAUAAAAUAUAAGAGGUCCAGCCUGCCCAGUGAUAUAAUUAAACGGCCGCGGUACCCUGACCGUGCAAAGGUAGCAUAAUCACUUGUUCUCUAAAUAGGGACUCGUAUCAACGGCAUCACGAGGGUUAUACUGUCUCCCCCCUCUAAUCAGUGAAACUGACCUCCCCGUGAAGAGGCGGGGAUAUUUAUACAAGACGAGAAGACCCCAUGGAGCUUUAAACCCAAUAACAACCUCCACCAAAGUACCCUAAAAAUGAAGAGGCACUGUUUAUUGGUUUUAGGUUGGGGUGACCACGGAGAAAAACUAAACCUCCAUGACGAAUGGACCUUAAGCCUAAUCUAAGAGCCACUACUCCAAGAAUCAUUAAUUUGACAUAAUUUGAUCCGGCAACCGAUCAACGAACCAAGUUACCCUGGGGAUAACAGCGCAAUCCAUUUCAAGAGCCCCUAUCGACAAAUGGGUUUACGACCUCGAUGUUGGAUCAGGGUAUCCCAGUGGUGCAGCCGCUACUAAAGGUUGUUGUCAA
rnacentral:rRNA from 1 species